UAAUAGUUAAUUUCAAUAUAGUGGGAUGGCUUAUAUCUUCAACAUAUCUAAUUCAAUCUCUUUGCAUUUUCUCAUUUUGUUGAUAGUAACCUUUACUUUGGUUAUGAAGUUGGCUCCAGGUUAGUGCAGGUUUGUCUUAAUUUUUUAUUUUUUUUCCAAAUUAGGUUUGUCUUUGUUCGACCUUUACAUGAACAAACUAUAAAGCAUACAUAAUGGAAGUAGUAAUUAAUUUUCUAAAACUUUAAAUAUAUUUUGAAUUGUUGAUAAUAUUUUGUAGAUAUGAAGAUGAGAAAAUUGGGAGACGGGCCAACUACACCUCCGCCACCAGAGCUUAACAGAAGCCCAGGCCCAGCCCAAAUAUAAAGUCAAUACUGGCUUUAAGCUCUCAAUUUGUUAAGAUUUUUAAAGCCUAAAUUUAGGGCAAAAAUAUAUAUAAAUAAGAUUGUGGAUGCAUUUGUUUAAACACAUAAAAAAAAUAUUUUUGAAAAAAUUUAGAGAUUUUUCUAAAAAAAAAAAACCUACUUUAUGUUUAUUUACUAUCAUAAAAUUCAUUUUUUAAAAAAUUGAUGUUGGUCUUGCGUACGUGAUCUAUUUUGGUGAUAUCAAGCUGGAAGGGUAAAAGCAGUAAUCUUAGAAUGAAUCUCUCUGAUGUCUAUGAUACCUUAUAUAUAAGAGUGCGAUGGAAGUAGCGGAGGAGCUUCAUUCCCCACGUUCCCUAAACUCAUUCCAAUUAUCCAAACCAUAUUCUCCAAGGAGGCAUUCUUCCAUAGACACAUAAUUUAGACACAUGAUUUAGGCACACACUCACAAUUCAAAAUAAUUAAAAUAAAAAUAAAAUAGUCACAUCAAUUAAUAUUACUUUAAUUAUUUCAUCUUCUUUUUUUUUUUUUUUGCUUAUGUGAGUGUGCUUAAGAAAAAUUUGUUUAUUUCUCUUCUCCAAGUGCUUUUCCGCAGCUAGUAGCUACAUUUAAGCUAUAUCCUUGCCGUGACGUAUCCGAGUAGAACUUGCCAACAAGAGGGGAAAGGAUUACACAAAGUUACAGACUCUGUAAUGAAUCGCAUCCGUUUGAUUAUAAUCCAACAACCGAGAUCGUUUUUGAUGAAAAGACACAGUUUUCAUCACAGUCGCCUGCUUUUAGAUUGAUGGUUGAGAUUAAAAACAGUGUGAAACUGCGUGUAAAUAUUACUGCAGCGAAUCCAGGUCCCAACAAGAGUGUUCAUUGGCGAUUGGGUCAUAUUUAGAUUUAGCUGCCUCUCAUUGUACAGACCAAGCUAGAACGAACAUGACUAGGGGUCUGUUUGGAUUAGCUUAUUUUUGAACUUAUACAAACAACUUAUGCAAUUUUUAUGUAUUAUUAUUAGUUUGUCAAGGUAGUGUUAUUAACAUGUUACUAUGUGUACCAAAAAAAUAUUAAAAUAAACAAACUUUAGUUUUCAAAAUAUAUAGCAUUAGUUGGUUUUUAUUGAAUAAC
rnacentral:lncRNA from 1 species